rnacentral:rRNA from 1 species
CAGCCGCCGCGGGAAUACGAAGGGGGCUAGCGUUGCUCGGAAUGACUGGGCGUAAAGGGCGCGUAGGCGGCGAUCAAAGUCAGGCGUGAAAUUCCUGGGCUCAACCUGGGGGCUGCGCUUGAUACUGUUUGUCUUGAGUUCGAGAGAGGUAAGUGGAACUGCGAGUGUAGAGGUGAAAUUCGUAGAUAUUCGCAAGAACACCAGUGGCGAAGGCGGCUUACUGGCUCGAAACUGACGCUGAGGCGCGAAAGCGUGGGGAGCAAACAGGAUUAGAUACCCGGGUAGUCCCUGUCUCUUAUAC